rnacentral:rRNA from 1 species
AACGUAGGAGACAAACGUUAUCCGGAGUUACUGGGCGUAAAGGGCGUGUAGGUGGUUUUGUAAGUCUGGCGUGAAAUUUUUCGGCUUAACCGGGAAAGGUCGUCGGAUACUGCAAGGCUAGAGGACGGUAGAGGCGUGUGGAAUUCCGGGUGUAGUGGUGAAAUGCGUAGAGAUCCGGAGGAAGACCGGUGGCGAAGGCGGUCUGCUGGGCAGUUUCUGACACUGAGGCGCGACAGCGUGGGGGAGCAAACAGGG